GGACUACACGGGUAUCUAAUCCCUUUCGCUCCCCUAGCUUUCGUUCAUCAGCGUCAAAAAAUUCCUAGUUACCUGCCUACGCCCUUGGAGUUCCUAUCGAUAUCAACGGAUUUCACCCCUACACCGAUAGUUCCAGUAACCCCGAAAUAUUUCAACCUCUUCAGUAUUCUUGCCCUUUCCAGAGUUGAGCUCUGGGCUUUAAACAAAAACUUAAAGAGGCGCCUUUAGAAACGCUUUACGCCCAAUAAAUCCGGACAACGCUUGCACCUCUCGUAUUACCGCGGCGGCUGGCAC
rnacentral:rRNA from 1 species